GAUGAACGCUGGCGGCGUGCCUAAUACAUGCAAGUCGAGCGAACGCACGAUAAGCUUUCUUCUCUGAUGGUAGCGGCUGACGGGUGAGUAACACGUGGAUAACCUACCUAUAAUACUGGGAUAACUUCGUGAAACCGUAUCUAAUACUAGAUAAUAUGUUGAACCGCAUGGUGCAAAAGUUAAAGACGGUCUUGGUGUCACUUAUAGAUGGAUCCGCGCUGCAUUAGCUAGUUGGUAAGGUAACGGCUUACCAAGGCAACGAUGCAUAGCCGACCUGAGAGGGUGAUCGGCCACACUGGAACUGAGACACGGUCCAGACUCCUACGGGAGGCAGCAGUAGGGAAUAUUGCGCAAUGGGCGAAAGCCUGACGGAGCAACGCCGCGUGAGUGAUGAAGGUCUUCGGAUCGUAAAACUCUGUUAUUAGGGAAGAACAGAUGUGUAAGUAACUGUGCACAUUUUGACGGUACCUAAACAGAAAGCAACGGCUAACUACGUG
rnacentral:rRNA from 1 species